rnacentral:rRNA from 1 species
CAGUCGCCGCGGGAAUACGGAGGGGGCUAGCGUUGUUCGGAAUUACUGGGCGUAAAGCGCACGUAGGCGGCUUGGUAAGUUAGAGGUGAAAGCCCGGAGCUCAACUCCGGAAUUGCCUUUAAGACUGCCGAGCUAGCACGUGAGAGAGGUAAGUGGAAUUCCGAGUGUAGAGGUGAAAUUCGUAGAUAUUCGGAAGAACACCAGUGGCGAAGGCGGCUUACUGGCUCAUACUGGACGCUGAGGUGCAAAAGCGUGGGGAGCAAACAGGAUUAGAUACCCCCGUAGUCCCUGUCUCUUAUAC